rnacentral:siRNA from 1 species
CUCUCAACUCAUAUGGUC